CACUUGUCAGCGCUGCUUUGAGAGGACAGUGGUCUAGGGACCCACCCCUCGAUCCUGAGGGUGCCCAGAAUCGUACCAGCUCAAGUCCUUCUAGAAGCUGAGUGCCUGUCGGCCUGCCGCUGUGCAGAUUUGGUGGCAGCAUCGGAACCAAAGCAAACUUCUGACAGUCUUUGGUGACAGUGAGAAGCACAAGUGUGGUGUCUACGUCACCAUUUCCCAGGGCCCUUGAAUUUGUGACCUAAAAGCUCCGGCUCUACAGUGAAUGAUAAUAAAUUGACCGUCGUCGCCCGGGGCCAGACUUCAGAGAGGGGAGUUCGGUGUUUUUCCACUGAAUUGAGGCCAGCUUUUGGGGAGAAAUGGCUGCUACCUCCUAGUCCUGAAGAACAGAUGACAAGUGACAAGUGAAAGUGCUUUGUGACGGUGAACAGUGAAACUUUCAUAGCAGAGAAGCCCAGAAAGAGUAGAAACCUUGUGACAGCUGAGCUUCACUGUGAACCCCAUUCCUAACCACGCUCAGUGGGGUGACGGCACUCGCGCUGGCCCACAGUGUGGCUGCACAGGACGGCCUGCUUCCGAGGUUGCCCGUGUCCUCAGCCCUGACGCAUGGCGUGCAAACCCCAUGAAGUGGACAUGGAUUCUGCCUUCGUUUCCAGAGGAAACACCUAAGCGUAGAGCGAUCUGCGGGGCUGCUGCUGGUCACCUAGUGAAGGUGAUGGUGAUGCGAUUCCAGCCCGGUCCCGCCGCUCCUUA